rnacentral:rRNA from 1 species
UGCCAGCAGCCGCGGUAAUACGUAGGUGGCAAGCGUUGUCCGGAUUUACUGGGCGUAAAGAGCGCGCAGGCGGUCGAAUAAGUCGAAUGUGAAAGCCCCCGGCUCAACUGGGGAUCGUCAUUCGAAACUGUUCGACUUGAAGAUGGGAGAGGGAAGCGGAAUUUCAGGUGUAGUGGUGAAAUGCGUAGAUAUCUGAAGGAACACCAGUGGCGAAGGCGGCUUUCUGGCCCACUCUUGACGCUGAGGCGCGAAAGCUAGGGGAGCGAACGGGAUUAGAUA